rnacentral:rRNA from 1 species
UACGAAGGGGGCUAGCGUUGUUCGGAAUCACUGGGCGUAAAGCGCACGUAGGCGGAUUUUUAAGUCAGGGGUGAAAUCCCGAGGCUCAACCUCGGAACUGCCUUUGAUACUGGGGAUCUUGAGUCCGGGAGAGGUGAGUGGAACUGCGAGUGUAGAGGUGAAAUUCGUAGAUAUUCGCAAGAACACCAGUGGCGAAGGCGGCUCACUGGCCCGGUACUGACGCUGAGGUGCGAAAGCGUGGGGAGCAAACAGG